AGCGAACGCUGGCGGCAGGCCUAACACGUGCAAGUCGAGCGCCCAGCAAUGGGAGCGGCAGACGGGAGAGUAACACGUGGGAACAUGCCCUUCAGUACGGAACAACCAAGGGAAACUUUGGCUAAUACCGUAUACGCCCGUAAGGGGAAAGAUUUAUCGCUGAAGGAUUGGCCCGCGUCUGAUUAGCUAGUUGGUGGGGUAAUGGCCCACCAAGGCGACGAUCAGUAGCUGGUCUGAGAGGAUGAUCAGCCUCACUGGGACUGAGACACGGCCCAGACUCCUACGGGAGGCAGCAGUGGGGAAUAUUGGACAAUGGGCGCAAGCCUGAUCCGGCCAUGCCGCGUGGAUGAUGAAGGCCUUAGGGUUGUAAAGUCCUUUCGACGGGGAAGAUAAUGACGGUACCCGUAGAAGAAGCCCCGGCUAACUUCGUGCCAGCCGCCGCAGUAA
rnacentral:rRNA from 1 species